UUGUUCGGAAUUACUGGGCGUAAAGGGCUCGUAGGCGGCCAACUAAGUCAGACGUGAAAUCCCUAGGCUCAACCUAGGAACUGCGUCUGAUACUGGAUGGCUUGAAUCCGGGAGAGGGAUGCAGAAUUCCUGGUGUAGCGGUGAAAUGCGCAGAUAUCAGGAGGAACACCGAUGGCGAAGGCAGGUCUCUGGGCCACUACUGACGCUGAGAAGCGAAAGCAUGGGGAGCGAACAGG
rnacentral:rRNA from 1 species